rnacentral:rRNA from 1 species
AUUGAACGCUGGCGGCAUGCUUUAUACAUGCAAGUCGAACGGUAACGCGGGGGCGACCCUGGCGGCGAGUGGCGAACGGGUGAGUAAUACAUCGGAACGUGCCCAGUAGUGGGGGAUAGCUCGGCGAAAGCCGAAUUAAUACCGCAUACGCCCUAUGGGGGGAAGUGGGGGAUCGAAAGACCUCGCGCUAUUGGAGCGGCCGAUGGCAGAUUAGCUUGUUGGUGAGGUAAAGGCUUACCAAGGCGACGAACUGUAGCUGGUCUGAGAGGAUGACGAGCGACAAUGGGACUGGGACACGGCCCAGACACCUACGGGAGGCAGCAGUAGUGAAUUUUGGACAAUGGGCGCAAGCCUGAUCAAGCAAUGCGGCGUGAGUGAUGAAGGCACUCGGGUUGUAAAGCUCUUUUGGUAGUAACGAAAAGGACCUUGCUAAUACCAAGGACCGAUGACGGUACCUGCAGAAUAAGCACCGGCUAACUACGUGCCAGCCGCCGCCGUAACAC